rnacentral:tRNA from 1 species
GCUAGCGUAGCUUAAGCAAAGCAUAACACUGAAGAUGUUAAAAUGGACCCCUAAAAGUCCCGCCGGCA